rnacentral:rRNA from 1 species
UGGAUCCAGACUUUGAUCAUGGCUCAGGAUGAACGCUAGCUACAGGCUUAACACAUGCAAGUCGAGGGGAAACGACAUUGAAAGCUUGCUUUUGAUGGGCGUCGACCGGCGCACGGGUGAGUAACGCGUAUCCAACCUGCCCAUCACUUGGGGAUAACCUUGCGAAAGUAAGACUAAUACCCAAUGAUAUCUCUAGAAGACAUCUGAAAGAGAUUAAAGAUUUAUCGGUGAUGGAUGGGGAUGCGUCUGAUUAGCUUGUUGGCGGGGUAACGGCCCACCAAGGCGACGAUCAGUAGGGGUUCUGAGAGGAAGGUCCCCCACAUUGGAACUGAGACACGGUCCAAACUCCUACGGGAGGCAGCAGUGAGGAAUAUUGGUCAAUGGACGAGAGUCUGAACCAGCCAAGUAGCGUGCAGGAUGACGGCCCUAUGGGUUGUAAACUGCUUUUAUAAGGGAAUAAAGUGAGUCUCGUGAGACUUUUUGCAUGUACCUUAUGAAUAAGGACCGGCUAAUUCCGUGCCAGCAGCCGCGGUAAUACGGAAGGUCCGGGCGUUAUCCGGAUUUAUUGGGUUUAAAGGGAGCGUAGGCCGGAGAUUAAGCGUGUUGUGAAAUGUAGACGCUCAACGUCUGCACUGCAGCGCGAACUGGUUUCCUUGAGUACGCACAAAGUGGGCGGAAUUCGUGGUGUAGCGGUGAAAUGCUUAGAUAUCACGAAGAACUCCGAUUGCGAAGGCAGCUCACUGGAGCGCAACUGACGCUGAAGCUCGAAAGUGCGAGUAUCGAACAGGAUUAGAUACCCUGGUAGUCCGCACGGUAAACGAUGGAUGCCCGCUGUUGGUCUGAAUAGGUCAGCGGCCAAGCGAAAGCAUUAAGCAUCCCACCUGGGGAGUACGCCGGCAACGGUGCAACUCAAAUGAAUUGACGGA